CACCGGUGAUGAGUCUACCCUUCUACGUAGGGCCGGUGAUUAGUAGCCUUCGGGCGAAGCUAAGAUGGAC
rnacentral:ribozyme from 1 species